AUACCCCAUAGGCCGAGAGGUUAAAGGCAGCGAUGCGCGGCAGGAGGAGCUCGUGUCCUAUCAGCUGGUUGGUGAGGUAACGGCUCACCAAGGCUUCGACGGGUAGCCGGCCUGAGAGGGUGACCGGCCACACUGGAACUGAGAAACGGUCCAGACUCCUACGGGAGGCAGCAGUGGGGAAUAUUGGGCAAUGGGAGGAAUCCUGACCCAGCGACGCCGCGUGAACGAAGACGGCCUUCGGGUUGUAAAGUUCUUUUAUGUGGGAAGAAGGAAGUGACGGUACCACAUGAAUAAGCCCCGGCUAACUACGUGCCAGCAGUCGCGGUAAUACGUAGGGGGCGAGCGUUGUCCGGAAUUACUGGGCGUAAAGGGCACGCAGGCUGUGAUUCAAGUCAGCUGUAAAAGGAUGCGGCUUAACUGUGUUUAGCAGUUGAAACUGGAUGACUGGAGUGCUGGAGAGGCAAGUGGAAUUCCCAGUGUAGCGGUGAAAUGCGUAGAUAUUGGGAAGAACAUCGGUGGCGAAGGCGACUUGCUGGCCAGUAACUGACGCUGAGGUGCGAAAGCCAGGGUAGCAAACGGGAUUAGAUACCCCGGUAGUCCUGGCUGUAAACGAUGAAUGCUAGGUGUGCGAGCAGAGAUGUUGGUGUGC
rnacentral:rRNA from 1 species